AGGUGUAAGUGAGAUUAAUAUAUAUAUUGGAAACUCAAAUAAAAAAGCAAGCAAGAAAAAAUGAGAGAUAUUGUAUUAUCAUAUUUAUUAUAUACAAAUAUUUAUUAUUUAUUAGCAUUAAUCAUUACUAGUAAGAUUGUUUAGGAAAUAACCAAUAUAUUCAAUGAUCUUAAUAAAUAAUAAUAAUAAUAAAUUCAGUAUUAUGGUCCCUAUAUAAAAAUAAAGAAAAAAAUUGAGGCCCUAAGCCACUGCCUAGUUGCUAUUUUUCUUACCCUAAAUGAAUAAAGGUAGCAUUAUUUGCAUUAAUAACAUAUGCGUAACAACAUUAUGAUGUAAAACUAAAAUGAUACACUUAAAAAAAAUUCUCAACAUUGUCAUACUUACGCACAUUCACAAUAAUUCAAUACGCAUCGCCUUCCUCGUGGAGGGAAGCACAUGCCUUCCGGACAAUCUUUGUAUGAUACACAAGGAAUGAAAGCUGAGAUGUCAAACGAAAUCAAAAACUAUAUUAUAUUUAAAUUAUUUGUUAAAAAAAGUAUAAAUCUUGUCAAAAAAAUAUAUUAUUUAUAAUAAUAAAUAUCAUAUAUUGAAUAUAAAAAAAUGAAAAUAGUGUGAAAAAUAACUUACAUCCUAUAGGUUCACGUUUUUCUGUAAAAAUAAAAGAAGUUUUAUUAAAAGAUGAUGAAAUAUUGUGCUUAAAAAAUAAAAAAUGAAAUUUAAAUGCAGUCAAGAAUUGACUUACUACUAGUUACAAUAAUAAGUAGAGAAAGAAAAAUGAUCAAAAUAUAAAAGAAUUUGAGAAUUUGAGCCAUAUUUUUCCUGCGUAUAACUAAAAGAAAAUUGUUUUAUAACUUUUUAGAUUAAAAACUCCGUGUUUUGUUGGUUUUAAAUAUAUCAAUUAUCACAUAAGAGUUGCAAGAAACCAUUUUAAAAAUGGAUUUUUUUUUGCUAAAUGUCUCUAUGGUACAUCCAUAUGUUG
rnacentral:lncRNA from 1 species